UGGUGUCAUGUGCUACCUUAAGACACUGGGGAGUCUCUGCCAGGAAGAAGGUCAAAGGAUCGGGCCUGCAGACUUUGGUCUUGGUAUCAUCUAGAACCAGGAUCAGGUUAGUCCAGUGUCUCAAGGACAAACAGCUGCACAAUGGCAGAAACAGAAGCUCAGCCCAUUUUCCAUGACUCCAAAGUCCUACAGGUCAAGCUAUCCUCCCUCAGUCUUCCUUUAAAUCCAUGAUAUGGGUGGCCAUGAGAGAAUUGAGGAGGACACUGAUUGAUGGAUGGAGCAGGAACAGUAAGGACAAGACUACGAUGACAGAAGCUUAAUAUUAAAAGGCUUAAUAUUUGCUGAGAGUGACAAGAAAUGACAAAUCACAGAUAUAACAUGGUACAUCAUUUCUGAAAAAUAAUUCAUCAGUAGGUGUCUGGGCCUUCAAACUACAUAUUGCCAACCUGUAAUGGUUUGGAUAAAGGUUUGACUACUGGGACAAUUGAUGCUGGUUAGUUGGAGCUAAGAAAUUAGUGGCAAUUAAGAAGAGCCCCGCAUCACAGACGUAAAAUCUUCUGGGAAGUGUUUUCUGAGAGCACAAACUGUGUUCCAGCGAUAGCCAAAGUUGUACCUCAUGCUGCAGCUGGACUUGGUAAUGUGUAAGAGUGAUCCAGGUGGUAUUGGCUUUGAAGGCAAGAAGGGUCAUUGGGAGCAGCUGAGGCUUGGCACUGUGAGAGGCCAUGGAAGGCCAUUGGUGAAGGUAUAGCCUCAGUC